GACGAACGCUGGCGGCGUGCUUAACACAUGCAAGUCGAACGGAAAGGCCCUGCGUUUGUGGGGUGCUCGAGUGGCGAACGGGUGAGUAACACGUGAGUAACCUGCCCUUGACUUUGUGAUAACUUCAGGAAACUGGGGCUCAUACCGCAUAGGAUCUCCUGCUGCAUGGUGGGGGUUGGAAAGUUUCGGCGGUUGGGGAUGGACUCGCUGCUUAUCAGCUUGUUGGUGGGGUAGUUGCUUACCAGGGCUUUGACGGCUAGCCGGCAUGAGAGGGUGGCCGGCGACAAUGGGACUGAGAUACGGAGCAGAAGGCUACGGGCGGCAGCAGUGGGGAGUAUUACGCAAUGGCCGGAAGCCUGAUGCAGCAACGCCGCGUGCGGGAUGACGGCCUACGGGUUGUAAACCGCUUUGGAAUGUAACGAAGCGUGAGUGACGGUAAUGGGUAAAGAAGCACCGGCUAACUACGUG
rnacentral:rRNA from 1 species